UAAUGGAGACAUAAAAAAGGAAGCCCCGCUAGAACAGGACUUCCCAUGUAGAGCCGUUUAAGACGGCGGCAUUAAUUAACGACUAAAAA
rnacentral:sRNA from 1 species